AGCGAACGCUGGCGGCAGGCUUAACACAUGCAAGUCGAGCGGGCACCUUCGGGUGUCAGCGGCAGACGGGUGAGUAACACGUGGGAACGUACCCUUCGGUUCGGAAUAACGCUGGGAAACUAGCGCUAAUACCGGAUACGCCCUUAUGGGGAAAGGUUUACUGCCGAAGGAUCGGCCCGCGUCUGAUUAGCUAGUUGGUGGGGUAACGGCCUACCAAGGCGACGAUCAGUAGCUGGUCCGAGAGGAUGAUCAGCCACACUGGGACUGAGACACGGCCCAGACUCCUACGGGAGGCAGCAGUGGGGAAUAUUGGACAAUGGGCGCAAGCCUGAUCCAGCCAUGCCGCGUGAGUGAUGAAGGCCUUAGGGUUGUAAAGCUCUUUUGUCCGGGACGAUAAUGACGGUACCGGAAGAAUAAGCCCCGGCUAACUUCGUG
rnacentral:rRNA from 1 species